GUUGUUAUUUGAUAUAAAAAUAGACAUGGUUAAGAACAAUUACAAUAACAUUAAUAGUUAUGAUUGAUGAUCAGUAUUAACAUUGUUUAAAAGGAGACAGUUUAUACAAAGCUUUAAGAUAUUAAGAAGUGACAAUUUAUACCAACAGUGAAAUCCAGUAGAACUUUAUCUAUAUUGCACACAUUGAAUCAGACUUUAUUCUUAAAGAGAGAACUGUAAUUUAAUUUAAUUUAAUUUAAGUUGAACAGCGAACUUACAAAAUAACUCUUUUCAAAAAAGGGGGAUGUCAUGUAUUGGUCUUACAUUGUAUUGGGUUAUCAGAUGUAUCUGUAUGUUGUACUCUCUUAUGUGAAGUCAUUAAACAUAUAUCUACCAUGCUGAACUGAGUUAUAUGAUAUAUAUAGAACUUGACCAGAGUACUCACUAGCUUGCAUCCUAUUUGAAUAAACUCAUCAUAGAUACCAGGACUAAAUUUAGUAUAUAUGCCAGACGCGCGUUUCGUCUACAAAAGACUCACCGGUGACGCUCGAAUCCAAACAAAGUUUAAAAAUGCCAAAUAAAGUACGAAGUUGAAAAGCAUUGAGGACCAAAAUUCCUAAAAGUUUUGCCAA
rnacentral:lncRNA from 1 species